AACACCCAUCUCCAUAUUCCGGGUUUACCGCCGGUACCGGCCUCUGACAUGGCGAAGCCGAUACUUGACAGGGAGGAUAAGGCUUAUGAGUUAUUCGUAAACAUGUCCAUACACUUGCCAAGAUCAGCUGGAAUCAUUGUGAACACCUUUGAAGCGCUGGAACCAAGAGCUGUCAAAACGAUUUUGGAUGGGCUCUGCGUCCUUGACGGUCCAACCUCACCAAUAUUCUGCAUAGGACCAUUAAUUGCAGCUGAUGAUCGAUCCGGUGGUGGUGGUGGUGGAGGGGGAGGUAGCGGCAUUCCUGAGUGUUUGACAUGGCUCGAAUCUCAACCAAAACGCAGCGUUUUGUUUUUGUGUUUUGGGAGCUUGGGUUUGUUCUCAGAAGAACAGUUGAAGGAGAUAGCGGUUGGGUUAGAGAGGAGUGGGCAGAGGUUCUUGUGGGUAGUGCGGAGCCCACCCUCCAAGGACCCGAGCAGGCGUUUUUUAGCACCACCGGAACCGGAUUUGAAUUCCCUUCUCCCAGAUGGGUUUUUGGAUCGAACCAAGGAGAGGGGCCUAAUGGUGAAGUCGUGGGCUCCUCAGGUGGCCGUCUUGAAUCACGCCUCUGUUGGAGGGUUUGUGACUCACUGUGGGUGGAACUCAGUGCUUGAAGCAGUGUGUGCAGGCGUGCCAAUGGUGGCAUGGCCACUAUAUGCCGAGCAAAGGUUUAACAGGGUGGUGCUGGUGGAGGAAAUGAAGCUAGCCUUUCCAAUGGAAGAGUCGGAAGAAGGGUUUGUUACUGCAACUGAGGUUGAGAAGCGAGUUAGAGAGUUGAUGGAGUCGGAGGAAGGAAACACCCUUCGUCUCCGGAUCAUGGCCAUGAAAGAAGCUGCUGAGACUGCAAUGAGCGACGGUGGAUCAUCCCGCACCGCAUUAACAAAACUGGUCAAGUCAUGGAGGCCAGGAUGAGAGAAAGAGAAGGCUGUUCGUCUUAGCUUUCAAUUUCUUCCAAAUCCCGAUUAUUCGGUACCACUUCAACCUAGCAAUUGUUUCAUUAGCAAAAUUUUGCAUUUCUUUUAGCAGUUCAAUUUUAUUGUGUUCUUGGGUAUUAAGUUUGUUAACCUAAUAGAAAAUAAAUAAAUAAAAAAAGACAAAUGAUUAAUAUCCCAUGAAGUGCACCAACAUUAAUAAUCUAAUAAUCAAAAUGAAUGAAAGGAAUUAUAGUGGUGAAGUUCUAAUAAAAAAACUCUUUCAAUUGAGGCUGCAUUUUAUAAAAAUAAAAAAUAAAACUUUAAACAUAAAAGGAUUAUAUAUAAUAGGGUAAAUUCAUCAAUUAUCACAUAAAAAAAUUAAAAAAAAAAAAUUGAAAAAGUGCUACCCCUUCCACCUUUACAAAUUGACCGGACAACUCAAUUCAUAUAAGCUUAUGGGGAACUCAACCCUUGCGAGCUGGUCGAACAACUUGAUCCUUGCGAGCUAUCCGAGCAGCUUGAUCCUUGGCAUUUGAACAAAAUACGAUAAUAUUGAUUCAAACUUCAUAAUCUAACAAGGUUUAAUUCCUUUCUUAACUAUUUCAUUUUUAUCACAAAUUUGGAUGAAUUUAAUUAUUCAAUACAAACACCUUUGGACCAUUUCUUGCAGUUUUCAAUGAUAAUCCAUAAAAACUUAGAUAUCAUGCUUGUAAAGUCAUGAACACGGAAGCAAAAAUAUCAUCUAUUAUUAGCAGAUAAAGUCCUAGGAGGGCCACACAUUCUUGAAAUCCAUACGUUUUUCCAAUGGAUACACCCUUCAGUGUACAGAUUUUUUUUUUGCAUGCGUGAAUAAAUGACAAUCCCGUUGUCACUUUGUUUUGAUCUAACAAUUUCAAAAUAUAUAUAUGUUCCUUUCUUUUACAUGUCAUUUUCCUUCUACCUUCUAAAAGUUGUCUUCUAGAGUCUCACUUAAAGUUGUUUUGGACUCUAUCGUGUGAUUGUUACAGCCAAUAUCUAGACAUUGAACAUCUUGUGAUUGAUUCUUCUCAAGUAUUCAUAUAAUAAAUACAAUUAGAAAUAUUAAUUCCCCCCUUUUCCAAUGUUGGGAUGGUACUCAUCUUUCACACCAUUAUUAGAACUGUCCCACCUUGAAGGUUUAUUAAAAAUAAAGCUUCCUAUUUGUGAUUAUCUUUAUUGAAAAUAUUAGAGUGACACCCCUAACCCAAGUAAUUAAGGCUAAGGGGACAAUGGUCAUUUCAUAGAUGGGCCCAAAGGUCUAACAUGUGAAUAAUGUCAGAAAUGUGAUAUAGUCAUUCAUUAAUGUUGGCCGGUUGCUUGUAACAUAUCAAAAUAGUAAUCAAAGAUUAUUAAAUCAACUUUGAAAAUGAAACAAAGUCCCACAUGCACGAGUAUUUAAAACAUUUUUCAAUUAGAUUUAAUUGAAAUAAAGUAAACUAACUAGCUAGUGGUAAAUAAUGGAGCAAAUUUUUUUUUUUGGUUUUUGCCUAUGAUGAGACGAGUUUGGAAGAAGUAUAAGUAGGUUAAGGAUGUGUUUGAGAUUUUUUUGAAACUUAAGACGGGUUGGACUAUUGCUUUGUCCCUCGCCACCAUAUCCCGAUUAUAUAUAGUUAUAAAAAUAAUUUAAUUUAAUUUAUUUUUUCAUUUUCCCCUUUUGUAACACAUAAAAUUUGCCAUAUUUUUUUGUUAAAAUUAAAAAAAAAAUUAUUUAUAAUUUUUUUUUAUAUAAUUAAAGUUUUUCAAAAAAUUAAAUUUUAAAAAUAAUAUAUAUAUAUAUAUAUAUAUAUAUAUGUGGUUUGAAAUUUCAUUGACUAUUUCCCUUAUUCCGAAUAAGAAAAAAGUGACUAAAAUUAAUAAAUGAAAAUAAUAUAAAAGAUAUUUAAUGAAAUUUCAAAUUUAUAAGAAUUACAUAUAUUUAAUCAAAAUUUCAAAGGAGAUGAAUAAAAUUAACUCAAUUAGAAAUCAAUUACUUAUAUCUAUUUACUUUAUUAUCUAAUUCAUUAAUCACCACUUAUGAAUAUAAUCAUCACUUAUAAUUACCAAAAUAUUAUGGUACUUAACUUCAUACCAAGGCCCAACAAAGUAAGGGGAACAUAAGUACCUAUAAUCCCUUAUGAAUUUCUAAUAGUAUAUAUUCUAGAGGUCCAAAAUUCCAACCAAAUUUAAUAGCAUUCAAUUUCCAUCUUAGAUUUUGGCAAGGCUUACAUCAAGAUUAAAACCAACAUCCAAUAUUUUUGAAUCAUGCAUUUUUUUAAAAAGAUUUAAGGCGUAUUUUUUAUCAUAAUUUUAGAAAGUAUUUCUAACAUUUUUAAUACUUAAAAAAUAAAAUUUUAUUUUCUAAAAUCACUAUCAAAUACACUUUUAAUUUAUGUUAUCACACAUAUCUCGGGUUAGGAUAGUAAUAAGCCCUGAUUUCAAAUUACCUCUUCGAGGGGCAUGGUUAUUUUUCAUUUUUCCAACUUUACCAUAUGACCAUACUAGUGUUUGAACCUCCUCUUCCACCAAAAAUUUAUUAGGGUAGUUGCCUUGUUCCUAUCGCUGCUUUAUAUUUUCGUCCUUUUAUGAUAGGUUUAACCUCCUCAAAAGUUUGUUCAAUCAUUUUCACAUGCUUCAAGCUAUCAAGCACUUGCGUUUUGUAUGGCAGCAGAAACAUGUUCACGUUUUGCAGGCAAAGUUCUUAAAACUUGCUUAUCAACAGUUUCUCUUCUUGAAUUGUGUGUCCACAACUUCAUAUUAACAAAAUCUCCAUAAAUUUUGAAGUUCUAUUGAAAUUAUUUUAUCACUUCUCAUGGGAUUCUUAAUUUUUAUAAUACUUGCUAUGCAACUUUAGCUUUCUAAUCCCCAAAAAAUUCUAGGAAGACUAACUUAAUUUGCUUAGCCUGUUGAAUAUAUAUACAAGUAUAAAGAGACAUAACAAGAGCAACUUUGCUUAUGCUUUGUUAAACAUAUAAUAAGCGUAAUAAAGAGAGACAAGAUUUUCUUGAGCAAGAAUCACAAGGCUUGCAAUGAAGAAGUCCAUCUUUUGACACUUGGUUUUCACAAGAUACCAAUGGGCCUUUGGUGUACACUUAAGGUGUCUCUCAACGACUCACGAUUACUUACUACUUACAGUUGGCCUAUAAUAAAUAUAUUUUCGAAAAGAGUAGAUAUAGAUUUAAUGAACAUUAGAUGAUAUUAAAAACUUGUGGAAUAAUAUUUCCAUGUGAUUAUCAAGUGUUAGGUACAUGAUAAAUAAGUUUUAAGAAGCCUGUUUUGGCAUUAAUCUUAUUAAUUUAAGAACUUAUUUGACAGUAAUUUUAAAAAAUAUUUUUUAACAUUUUUAACAAUUAAAUUUUUUUAAUAAUUCAAGUAUUAGAAAUGCUAAAAAUUAUUUUCUAAAUUUACUAUCAAAUGUGCUCUACAUUUGUUAUUAUGAUUAAGUACUAGUGGUUGUAAGUACAUAGUUAACUAUCCAUAUGUUAGUCCGAUCUACACUAAUUAAAGAGAAUCUAUAUGUUUUUUGAUUUGAAAGUUUAAAAUAAAAUAGAAAAUAAGAAUAAUUUAAUUAAAUUUUUAUUCACUUUCAAGAAAAAAAAAUAGUAUUUAUAUAUGUGAUUAAAAGGUAAUACUCUAAUAUUACUUUUGACUUAAAAAUGUAUUAAAUAAAAAAUAUUUUUAAUCGAAUGAUAUGAAUCGAGAUAUAGAAAAAUGAGUUCUCAUUCUACUUAUAUUUCUAAAUAAGACCAUGAAAACAUAUUUUUUCUAUCUUAAAUAGAAAAUAAGCGAAUUAUAAUUUUAAUAAACCAAUCUUUCUUUUAGGGUUCUAGGAUAUUUUGACGUAUGAUUAGGGAGAUAUUUUGUGUUUAAAUUAGGGGAGUUUAAACCAUGUUUUUAAAGUAAGGUUUUACUUUAAAAACAAAACAAAAAUCCCCCCCAAAAAAAAAUCAUGUUUGUCCAUCAAACAUUAUAUAUGAUUUUUAAUUUUUCUUUAAAAAACAUCUUUUAAAUUAUAAAUACUAUUAAAAAGACUCUAAAUUACGUGAGAUAUAGGCCAUUUGAAAGCGACAAGAAAAAAAAAACAAAAAACAAAAAACAAAAACCAAAUAAUAAUAAUGUUUGUCCAUAAAACAUUAUAUACGAUUUUUCGCCUUUUUAAGAAUAUUCUCUACAUUUUAUCAAAUGUUUAUUUAAUUUUUUUUAUAAAAAAUAUCUUUUAAAGUAGAUUUUCUUUUUUUUUUUAAAAAAAAAAAAACUAUUAAAAAGACUUUAAGUUGCAUCAGACGUUUAAAAUGAAGUUAGGUUGUUUGAAAGAGAAAAAUAAAACAAAAAAUCAAAAAGCAAAAGACAAAAAAUAAUAAUAAUAAUAAUGUUUGCCCAUAAAACAUUAUCUAUGAUUUUUCGAUUUUUUAAGAAUGUUCUUUACAUUUUAUCAAAUGUCUAAUUUUUAUUUUUUUAAAUUAGAAAUACUUUUAAAAAAAACACAGUUAAAAAUCUUCUAAAUUGUGUUAGACAUUUGAAACAAAGGCAGACAGUUUGAAAAAGACAAAGAAACAAAACAAAAACCGUGUUUGUGCAUAAAACAUUAUAUAUAAUUUUUCAAUUUUUUUAGAAUGUUCUCUACAUUUUAUCAAAUGUUUUUUUUUAAACAUCUUUUAAAUUAGAAAUACUUUAAAAAAAAAAAUACUAUUAAGAAGACUUUAAGUUGCUUUAGAAAUUUAAAAUGAAGAUAGGUUGUUUGAAAGAGAGAAAAAAAACAAAACAAAACAAAAAGCAAUAAUAAUAAUAAUAAUAAUAAUAAUAAUAAUGUUUGCCCAUAAAACAAUAUAUAUGAUUUUUCAAAUUUUUAAGAAUGUUUUCUACAUUUCGUCAAAUGUCUAAUUUUUUUUUUAUAAAAAAAACGUAUUUUAAAUUACAAAUACUUUAAAAAAAAUACUAUUAAAAAGAGUUUAAAUUGUGUUAGACAUUUGGAACAAAGGCACACCGGUUGAAAGAGACAACAAAACAAAACAUAAGACUAUGUUUGGUUCCCGGAAAGUACAAAGGAAAGAAAAAAAAUGCUAAGGAAAAUGAUUUUCUCAUGUUUGGUUGUCCUAUGAAAAAUAUCAAAGAAAAUCAAAUAUAAUUAAAACUAAUUAAAAACUUAUAUAUUUUUAAAUUAUUUAAUCUUUAUAUUGAUGAGUUAAAAUAAAUAAAAUGAGUUUGAAGUAACAAAAAAAAUAAUUUAUCAACUUUUAAUAUAUUUUUUUUAUUUUUCUUCACUUUUUCUUUCCUUCUACUUUUCCUUUGUAUUUUCUUUCCCUCGUAUUUUCCCUCAAAUUUUCCGGGAACCAAACAUAGCCUAAAGAAAACAAAAAUGAUGUUUGUCCAUAAAACAUUAUAUAUGAUUUUAAAAUCUUUUAAAAAUGUUCUCAACGUUUUAUCAAAUGUGUAUUUUCUUUUUUAAAAAACAUCUUUUAAAUUAGAAAUGCAUUUAAAAAAAAAAACUAUUAAAAAGACUUUAAGUUGCAUUGUACAUUUGAAAUGAAGGUAGGUUGUUUGAAAGAGAAAAAAACCAAGAAAGAAAAAAAAACCAAAAGAAAAAACAAAAAGCAAAAAAUAAAAAAAAAUAAAAUGUGUUUGUACAUAAAACAUUAUAUAUUAUUUUUCAAUUUUUAAGAAUGUUUUCUACAUUUGAUAAAAUGUCAACUUUUUUUUAAAUAUGUUUUAAAUUAUAAAUACUUUUAAAAAAAAUUAUUAAAAAGGCCCUAAGAAUGUGUUUAAAUAAUGUUUUUUGUGAAGUGUUUUUAAUAAAAAUAUAUUUUUUCAAGAACCAUUAUAAAUGGUUUUCCAACUUGUAAAAAGUGUUUUCUAAAUAUUUCAACUAAAACAUUUUUUUAAAACAUAGAAAAACGACCUCUCAAAAUUCCUUCGUAAUUAUUGGAAGAAGCCUAUAGGAUCCGAAAUUGUCCAUGUCGUCCUCCAUUUUGCUUGGGUUGCACAUGGUUUGCUCUGCAUCUUUUCUUAUGCAUUCCAAGCAUCCAUCGAUUGACCAUUAGAUGGGAAAUAAUUGAAGUCUAAAACUACCCGUCUUCCUUUUCCACCAUCCUCUCUCAAACCUGUCCUACCAUUCUCUUUCACAGUGGUGCUAACAGUUGAAAUCUCAACCUUAAAUCAUUAUAUAUUUUUUGAUGAUUGACUUCUCCCCCUUGUCCUUUUGCUUUCUGCACUAUUUAACAAUGAAGAGACUGAUCCUUAAACAGUUAAACCUCUCUCCCUCUCAGUCUAAGCAAUGGAGAGUGUUGUCUUGUAUCCAUCACCAGGGAUGGGUCACCUCAUCUCAAUGGUGGAGCUUGGAAAGCUUAUACUGAAACACCAUCCUUCAUUCUCCAUCACCAUAUUCAUUGUCACUCCACCUUACAACACUGGCUCUACUGCUCCUUAUCUCGCCCGCGUCUCCUCCACCAUUCCUUCCUUCACUUUCCACCACCUCCCCACCAUUUCUCUCCCUCUCGAUUCUUUUUCCUCUCCCAACCAUGAAACCCUUGCUUUCGAGCUCCUCCGCCUCAACAACCCUAACGUCCACCAGGCCCUUGUGUCCAUCUCCAACAAUUCCUCCGUCCGUGCCCUAAUCGUUGAUUCCUUCUGUACAACCGCGCUUUCUGUGGCUGCUCAACUCAACAUUCCAUGCUACUAUUUCUUCACUUCUGGCGCCUGCUGCCUCGCUUCCUACCUUUACCUCCCUUUCAUUCACCAGCAGACUACCAAAAGCUUUAAAGACCUCAACACCCAUCUGCAUAUUCCGGGUUUACCGCCGGUACCGGCCUCUGACAUGGCGAAACCGAUACUUGACAGAGAGGAUAAGGCUUAUGAGUUCUUCCUAAACAUGUUCAUACACUUGCCAAGAUCAGCUGGAAUCAUUGUGAACACCUUUGAAGCUCUGGAACCAAGAGCUGUCAAAACGAUUUUGGAUGGGCUCUGCGUCCUUGACGGUCCAACCUCACCAAUAUUCUGCAUAGGACCAUUAAUUGCAACUGAUGAUCGAUCCGGUGGCGGUGGAGGGGGAGGUGGCGGCAUUCCCGAGUGUU
rnacentral:lncRNA from 1 species